rnacentral:rRNA from 1 species
AUUGAACGCUGGCGGCAGGCCUAACACAUGCAAGUCGAACGAGUGGCGGACGGGUGAGUAAUGUCUGGGAAACUGCCCGAUGGAGGGGGAUAACUACUGGAAACGGUAGCUAAUACCGCAUACCAUCGGAUGUGCCCAGAUGGGAUUGGCUAGUAGGGGUGGUAACGGCUCACCUAGCCGACGAUCCCUAGCUGGUCUGAGAGGCUGACCAGCCACACUGGAACGCAGACACGGUCCAGACUCCUAGGGGCGGCAGCAGUGGGGAAUAUUGCACAAUUGGCGCAAGCCUGAUGCAGCCAUGCAGCGUGUAUGAAGAAGGCCUUCGGGUUGUAAAGUACUUUCAGCGGGGAGGCGGUACCCGCAGAAGAAGCACCGGCUAACUCCGUGCCAGCAGCCGCGGUAAUUC